rnacentral:misc_RNA from 1 species
GAAUAAUUAAGAUUAAUGGGAUGUGGGCAGCCUCUCUUCCAAAUGAAGAAGGCAAACAAUUAUCAAGGUGUAGAAGCAAAUUGUAGAAAUCUUUCUAAAAUCAUUUAAGUAUCAAAGUUUAAUACAUUAUAAGCAUAUGAAAAUUAAUAGCAUUUGUUUGUUGCUGUUCAAUUAAGGGUAAACUUUUGUUGUCUAAUAAUGCUUCCAAGUCUUGGGACUAUGGCAUUACUCCCCAGUACCAGUAUAGCUGUCAUGCACCUUAUGAGUAUACCAUUAUGCCAUAACAUAGACCCU